CUUAAACAUAAAGCAGCAUCUGUGCAGCAUGACACUCACGUACAGAGCUGCUGGAUUCAUGUUCUCUCUGUUCAGCAUGUAACCUCACUCUGAAGUGCACCGAACUUCUUUUGUGAUUGAAGAUGAGACAAGAAUGGCUUAAAACACACUGAAUGAAUGCAGCAAACUAAACCACUCUCUGAUUGAACAACUCAACACUUGGUUUUCUGAGAGGAAAUGCAUAUUCUUGGAACUAUAUUCAUUUUUUAUUCUAGACCUCAAAGUCUGUCUAGGUUUCUACCUUCAGAUGUCAGAGGUCCACGCAUAUCUAGGAGAAAGUGUGAUCUUGUCCUGCAAUGGUUCAGGAUUACCUGUAGAGGAGCUGCACUUUCACUGGGAGGCGAUGGGCAAAUAUCAUCUCUCUGCGUGGAGAUGUUCUCAUGGUCGGGAGAGGGUUUGAAGACCGGGUGAACUUCAUCAGUGAUCCUACAGAAUCUGAGGACUUAACCCUCAUUCUGUCAGAUGUGAUGCUGAAUGAUAGAGAUAUAUAUGAAUGUCUCUGGGAGGAAAAAAAAAAAAAAACCCAUUUGCUCUGUAUUACUACAGGUGUUGAGUAAGUAUCACAGUUACUUACAUUUCAUAGUUGUCAAUUACUAGUUGUAAAUGUUACAAUAAAUAAAUAAAUCUCAGAAAACAGGGCCUUAAUGAAUCUUUAUUGUUUAAUUUCCAAAAAGGUACUUCU